AAAUUAGCAAGUCAUGUUUAAAAAUUUGGGUGUUAAGAUUGACAUCUAUUUUUCCAGGUUUCACAAUUAUUUUUCAUUUUUUUGCUUGCAUAUGUCAAAAUAUGCUUGUUUGUAUAUUAUCUAUAGGCUUCUAUGCAUCCGUUAGAGCUUCAAUAAACUCAUACCUAAAUCUUGCCUGUUUUUAAGUUCAGAUUGACGUGAUUGGACUGAAUUAUUGAUUUACUAUUUAAGGUUAAUGUUUUUAGAGAACGGAGAGCACUUGGUUUGACAUUGAAUGACACAAAAACA
rnacentral:misc_RNA from 1 species